rnacentral:rRNA from 1 species
CGACGAGUCGCAAGACCGCGAGGUUUAGCAAAUCUCUUAAAGCCGUUCUCAGUUCGGAUUGUAGGCUGCAACUCGCCUACAUGAAGUCGGAAUCGCUAGUAAUCGCGGAUCAGCAUGCCGCGGUGAAUACGUUCCCGGGCCUUGUACACACCGCCCGUCACACCAUGAGAGUUUGUAACACCCAAAGCCGGUGGGGUAACCUUUUGGAGCCAGCCGUCUAAGGUGGGACAGAUGAUUGGGGUGAAGUCGUAACAAGGUAUC